UACAGAGACUGCAAGCGUUAUUCGGAUUCACUGGGCGUAAAGGGUGCGCAGGCGGCCAUGUGUGUCAGGUGUGAAAGCCCGGGGCUUAACCCCAGAAUUGCGCCUGAAACUACAUGGCUAGAGCAUUGGAGAGGGUAGCGGAAUUCACGGUGUAGCAGUGAAAUGCGUAGAUAUCGUGAGGAACACCAGAGGCGAAGGCGGCUACCUGGACAAUUGCUGACGCUCAGGCACGAAAGCGUGGGGAGCAAAAGGG
rnacentral:rRNA from 1 species